UGUCGUCAGCUCGUGUCGUGAGAUGUUGGGUUAAGUCCCGCAACGAGCGCAACCCUUGCCUUUAGUUGCCAGCAGUUCGGCUGGGCACUCUAAAGGGACUGCCGGUGUUAAACCGGAGGAAGGUGGGGAGUGACGUCAAGUCCUCAUGGCCUUUAUGACCAGGGCUACACACGUACUACAAUGGCCGAUACAAAGGGCAGCGACACUGCGAGGUGAAGCCAACCCCGUAAAAUCGGUCUCAGUCCGGAUUGGAGUCUGCAACUCGACUCCAUGAAGUUGGAAUCGCUAGUAAUCGUGGAUCAGCAUGCCACGGUGAAUACGUUCCCGGGCCUU
rnacentral:rRNA from 1 species